GACUACCGGGGUAUCUAAUCCUGUUUGAUCCCCACGCUUUCGAGCCUCAGUGUCAAUAAUCCCGUAGUAAGCUGCCUUCGCAAUGGGUGUUCUAUGUCAUAUCUAAGCAUUUCACCGCUACAUGACAUAUUCCGCUUACCUCCAGGAUAUUCAAGACAGAUAGUAUCAAUGGCAGUUUCCGGGUUAAGCCCGGAGAUUUCACCACUGACUUACCUGCCCACCUACGCUCCCUUUAAACCCAGUAAAUCCGGAUAACGCUUGCACCCUCCGUAUUACCGCGGCUGCUGGCACGGAGUUAGCCGGUGCUUAUUCCUCUGGUACCGUCAAGUGAGCUAGAAAGCCCUUUUUUCGUCCCAGAUAAAAGAAGUUUACAAUCCAGAGGACCUUCAUCCUUCACGCGGCAUGGCUGGUUCAGACUUUCGUCCAUUGACCAAUAUUCCUUACUGCUGCCCCCCGUAGG
rnacentral:rRNA from 1 species